CUUCGCAGUUUGGUUGAAAUCAAAUUUUAAUUACAAUCGCAACACUAAAAAGUUUCGAAUUGUAUAUUUCUUUAAAGAAACUAACGUAAGCAGUUCCAAAUUUUACAGUGUAGUUGUUUGUAUAAACAUAGAUUAAACUUCGUAUGCAGACUAAUGAAAGCGACGAGCACCGGUUACUUACUUCAGAGAUGAUUUUAUUCAUCUUCAAGGACUCAUGCACUCCAGAUGAAGUAUGAAUGGUGAUCCCGGACAGUUAACUAUUCUACGUUUGAAUUACGUCAUUGAGAAAUGGAUCGUCAAGGCGCAGGCUGAAACAAUUGACAGUUUAAUUAUUUCUCGGAAACUCAUUUACAAACUUAUCAGCCGUUCACUUUUAUAUUCUGCAAGAAAGUAGUGCAAGAAGUAGUUCAAGGAAGUCAUUCAACAUGGCGGAGAGCGUGAAAGUAAUAGUAAGAUGUCGCCCUAUGAAUGCCAGAGAGAAGGAUUUGAAAUGCAAGUGUGUGGUGUUCAUGGACAACAGCCAAUGUUCAUGCUCCAUUGUGAAUCCAACUGACAGCUCUGCCCCUCCAAAGUUUUUCACAUUUGAUGGAGUGUACCAUAUUAACUCCACUACUGAGCAAAUAUACAAUGAAAUUGCAUACCCACUGG